AUGGGCCCAGCCAGCCGGCCGGCCAUGUGCCGCCUCCCAUGUCUGGCUGGGGCAGGGGCUCAGGGCACAGGGGACAGGUGGGGCCCACCCUGGCUCACGCUGAGGACCCCAGGGUCCCUGCUGGGAGGUAGAGGCCACACCCAUGGCGUCUCCCACGCCUGGCGGGGUGGGGCAGUGACUCAAGGCGGCCUGGGUGAGUCAGGAGCUGAACCCGAGUCGCCCCACGGCGGCCUCCAGCCUUGGCACCACCACGCCCCUGGGGCCACCCCACCUGCCACCCUCCGGUGCCCACCUGGCCCGCAUCCGCCUACCUCUGGCCGCCUCGGCUGCCCGUCGGGCUCAGCGGGCCCAUUGUGCCGUGGCUGCUGGCCCAGCUGCAGCAGGCGCGGACCUGCUCCUGGACGCGGGCCGCCCUCAGCCGCUCUGCCUCCGGCCCCUCGGCGCCCGGCGGUCCAGCUGCAGAUCCGAGGGCAGCGCCAGGGAGCACACGCCCGCCUCGGGCUGCAGGGCGGAGAGCAGGAAGUUACCGUCCUGCAUGGCGGCGGGCACGGGCGGUCGGCCUGGCCUGGGCCCGUCGCCACCUCCAGCCCGAGCUGUCUCGCCGUCUCUUCCCGCGCGGCCCUGUCCCUGAAGUCCCUCCUCUGGCCUCGCCCAGGGCUGGCUCAGAGGCCGACACCGCCCAGCCCUGAGCUCAGCGAGGGGCGGGACACCUGGGCCAGGUGGGAGGCGGGGCUGCUCAAGGUGGAAUUCGGGCGGAAGAGCAGGCCCUGCGUCACCCUGCCUUCCGCCCAUCCCGGACGGGCAGCAAGGGUCUGUGCCUUUGUCCCCUGCCUGUAAAGGCCACAGCUGCUCCUUUGGGCCUACUGUCCCGGCGCUGGGAAAGGUCCCAGGCGGCCACCUCGGGAGUCAGGGCCAGGGCCCUCCUGCCCGGGAACCGGGUGCUCUGGGAAACUCCGAGGACCAGGCAGCCAACCUGAGGCCUGUGGGAGGCCUAGCAGGGUUUAGGCGCCAAGGGACUGAGUUGAGGAUUGAAGGCUUGGGGUGGAGCUUCUGGGUGAAGAGGGCUCGACGGGUCAGUCCUUGGUGCCCAAGAGACCCCAGAAGCAGGAGGCUAGAUGGGCCCACCGCAAGCUCAUGACCCUCCAGAUAUCCAUCCCGUAGACCCUGAAGUCACCCUAACCCUCUCCUCUGCAGAGGCCUCCAAAGGGCUGGCUGGGCCCUCUGGUCCCCUCCCAGGCUUCUGCCCCAGGCUGUGGGGUGGGAGGCAGUUCCCAACACGUGAGUCAGGGUUCAGCUCAGUGGGGCAGGCGGGGCUGCCCAAGGUGGAAUUCGGGCGGAAGAGCAGGCCCUGCGCGUCACCCUGCCUUCCGCCCAUCCCGGACGGGCAGCAAGGGUCUGUGCCUUUGUCCCCUGCCUGUAAAGGCCACAGCUGCUCCUUUGGGCCUACUGUCCCGGCGCUGGGAAAGGUCCCAGGGCGGCCACCUCGGGAGUCAGGGCCAGGGCCCUCCUGCCCGGGAACCGGGUGCUCUGGGAAACUCCGAGGACCAGGCAGCCAACCUGAGGCCUGUGGGAGGCCUAGCAGGGUUUGGCGCCAAGGGACUGAGUUGAGGAUUGAAGGCUUGGGGUGGAGCUUCUGGGUGAAGAGGGCUCGACGGGUCAGUCCUUGGUGCCCAAGAGACCCCAGAAGCAGGAGGCUAGAUGGGCCCACCGCAAGCUCAUGACCCUCCAGAUAUCCAUCCCGUAGACCCUGGAAGUCACCCUAACCCUCUCCUCUGCAGAGGCCUCCAAAGGGCUGGCUGGGCCCUCUGGUCCCCUCCCAGGCUUCUGCCCCCAGGCUGUGGGGUGGGAGGCAGUUCCCAACACGUGAGUCAGGGUUCAGCUCAGUGGGGCAGGCGGGCUGCCCGGGGUUGACUCAGAGGGCCCUCCUGCCCGGCUGGGGACGAGGGAGGAACUGGCAGUCCAGGCCAGCAGGGACCCGGAGGGCUGGAGCUGCAUGGACAGGGCGGCCCAGGAGUCAGAGCAGGAGUGAGAGCCCGCAGAGCGGGCUUGCCCCAAAGUCUCCU
ensembl:lncRNA